AUCGAACGCUGGCGGCAGGCUUAACACAUGCAAGUCGAGCGAGCGGCGGACGGGUGAGUAAUGUCUGGGAAAUUGCCUGAUGGAGGGGGCUAACUACUGGAAACGGUAGCUAAUACCGCAUACCAUCAGAUGUGCCCAGAUGGGAUUAGCUAGUAGGUGGGGUAAGGGCUCACCUAGGCGACGAUCCCUAGCUGGUCUGAGAGGAUGACCGGCCACACUGGAACUGAGACACGGUCCAGACUCCUACGGGAGGCAGCAGUGGGGAAUAUUGCGCAAUGGGGGCAAGCCUGACCCAGCCAUGCCGCGUGAGUGAAGAAGGCCUUCGGGUUGUAAAGUUCUUUCGGUAGAGAGGCGUUAUCUACAGAGGAAGCACCGGCUAACUCCGUGCCAGCAGCCGCGGUAAUAC
rnacentral:rRNA from 1 species